CCGCAAGUUAAUGCUUCUUGGGGCAGCUCACAUUAAAAUUAAACAAGAUGCCCAACCCAGUGUGCUGACUUUAAGCUGAGGAGACAUAGUCUGGAGAAGGGAAGUGAUUUGUCCGGUUUGGAACAACGUGUUAGCGGCAGAUCAGAUCUGGACACGAGUCAGUGUGUUCGGAUCUCCAGCCGGUUGUUUCCCUUCCCCUGGUCUGCCUCUCCUGGACCGAGAAGGAAGUCUCAGUAACGAUUGAUGUGGUCUGUUUGGGCAAAGUUGGGAGCCCAGAAUAACGCUCCCUGGCAGAUCUGCUUGUAAAGUUUCACAUUAACCCCAGCCCGCCUGGGAGCCAGGCCCUCGGACAUCCUUGCAAGGCCUGCUCAAGAAUCUCAAGAAGAGACAGAAUUUCAGAACUUCCAGAACAAGACUCAGCAUAUGGCAGGCAUCAUUAAAACCUACGUGAAUCGACAUGACAGCAACGCUGAAGCUGAAAGGAGGAGCCGAAGAGGAUGGAAGAAUGUGGGGGAAGAGCCUGAGACAAAACUCUGCUGACUUCAAGAUUUGGCUGACCCACGUCUUAAUCCCCCCAAGAGAGACGUCAUUAAAGGCUUGUUGACUUAGCUCUAUGUGCAGCCUGAAGCUUUCUGAGCUUCCCCACCCACUCCCCGUCCUCCUCCUCUCCCUGGCCUGGGAGAAACAGUCAGGCUUCCUCCGUCAUGCAGCUUCUCCUCCGGACUUUUCCAUUUGAGCAAGAGAUUGCCCUGAAGCUGCUAACAAUUGGGAUCAGAGACCUCCUUGCCAGGUAAAUAAGCAUCCUAGCCAAACCCAGUCUUCACUGCAGCUUUGAAGCACCCCGCCCCCAAGUCUGCACAAGAAGACAAGUCAGGAGAGGGGGAAA
rnacentral:lncRNA from 1 species